rnacentral:rRNA from 1 species
GACGAACGCUGGCGGCGUGCUUAACACAUGCAAGUCGAACGGAAAGGCCCCUUUGGGGGUACUCGAGGGGCGAACGGGUGAGUAACACGUGAUUAACCUGCCCUUGACUUCGGGAUAACUUCAGGAAACUGGGGCUAAUACCGGAUAGGAAUCCUUGCUGCAUGGUGGGGGUUGGAAAGCUUCGGCGGUUUUGGUUGGACUCGCGGCCUAUCAGCUUGUUGGUGGGGUAGUGGCUUACCAAGGCUGUGACGGGUAGCCGGCCUGAGAGGGCGACCGGCCACAUUGGGUCUGAGUGCCCGCCCAGACGCCUACGGGAGGCAGCAGUGGGGAAUAUUGCACAAGGGGCGGACGCCUGAUGCAGCAACGCCGCGCGCGGGAUGACAGCCUUCGGGUUGAAAACCGCGUUCAGCAGGGGCGAGGCUUGUGGUGACAGUACCUGCAGAAGAAGCACCGGCUAACUACGUG